rnacentral:rRNA from 1 species
CUACGGGUCGCAGCAGUGAGGGAUUUUGCGCAAUGGGGGGAACCCUGACGCAGCAACGCCGCGUGAGUGGAGAAGGCUUUUGGGUCGUAAAGCUCUGUCGACAGGGAAGAAGUUAUUUUGUAUUAAUAGUAUGAGAUAUUGACGGUACCUGUAGAGGAAGCACCGGCUAACUCCGUGCCAGCAGCCGCGGUAAUACGGGGGGUGCGAGCGUUAUUCGGAAUUAUUGGGCGUAAAGGGCGCGUAGGCGGAUUUGUUAGUCAGAUGUGAAAUUCCAAGGCUUAACCUUGGGCGUGCAUUUGAAACGGCAAGUCUUGAGUACGGUAGAGGAGAGUGGAAUUCCUGGUGUAGAGGUGAAAUUCGUAGAUAUCAGGAGGAACACCGAAGGCGAAGGCAGCUUUCUGGUCCGAUACUGACGCUGAAGUGCGAAGGCGUGGGGAGCAAACAGGAUUAGAUACCCCCGUAGUC